rnacentral:lncRNA from 1 species
AGCCAUAAAAUCACAUAAAAAAAAAGAGAAAACAAGCAUGCUGUCAGAUUAAAAGAAAAACUUGGGUCAUGGGCAAAUUGGUUCAAAAUCCCAUGACAAAUGGGUUUGAAAAUUCAAAAGGAAAUUAUAAAAAAAGGAGAAGCUACUUCUUAACGAAUUCCAUCAAAAGCUUUUUUGUGCUAAGACUUUGACGCCAUGUGAUAUCCCAUCUGGAUUUGGAAAAAUCAAAGUGUACAAGGAAAAAAAUAAGAAGAUUGCUACGUACAAUUCCCUCAAAUUAAAAUGGGAAGGCUAUCCAUGAACCCAAAAAGAAAAAAAGAGUAGCUCUUCCAUAUUACUCAUAUGGGUUUUAUGAAUAUGGCAUCCAUCAAAGUUAAAAUUAUUCAAGAAGUCUGAGAUGCAUGGCACGGAGACAAAGUCAAAUACCAAAGUAAUAGUGGGUUCAUCACAAAUAUUCCCAUUAAAUUUACAAGAUACAAAUGGCACGAAGCCAUAUCAAGUAUUAAAUAGCACAAAACCGCAACGAGUCUUAAAAUAUUACGAACUACGCCGGUUUGAUUCCAUUAAGGAUACGUAGGCAGUUUGAUAUUAAAUUUUAGACGCAAUCAAGAAAUCAAGACGAAUGUCUGGUUUAUAUAAGCUAAAUUCACUUCUGCUGCUUUGAACAGAACCCUUGUGGGAUAAAUCACGUGAAGGAACAGAGGAAAUAUUUUUUUUAUUCCAAGCAUGAUUCUCUACAGAUUUGUCAGAAGAAAGAAGCUGCAAAGGAGAGGUAAAAUUAAACAUGGAGUAAGAAAUGGUACCAAGCUAGAGUCAAAUGCCAAAAUAUUAGUGGGUUUAUCAGAAAUAAACCUGUUAAUUUUACUCUAUGCUCAAGCGGCACAAAACCACUUUAAAUGGGAUAAAGCUGCCUCAAACGACUAAAAGUCGAUUCAAUGGCAUGAAGCCGUAUUAAAUUCUGAUGGCACGAAGCUGCGACAAAACCCAAUGUCCUAAAGCCGUAUCAAAUAUCAAAUGGCACGAUGCCGAAGAAAAAGUCAAAUAUCAAAUGGCAUGAAGCCGCAACAGAAUCUCAAGUGGCACGAAGCUAUGUUAACUGGCACAAAGCCGUAUCAAAUUUCAGAAUGGCAUAAAACCAUAUCAAAUUUAUAAAUCACUCCAAUGGCUUAAAGUCCUCGCCUGCGUAAGUUUAAAUUGCAUGAGGCAUUAAAAGCUCCAAUGGCUCAAAGUCCUCGCCUGCAUGAGCUAAAACUGCACAAGGCAUCAGUUGCUUCUUGCCUAUACGAGCUGAAACUGCACAAGGCAUCAAACCCUAACAAAACACAUAAGAAACUACGAGUGACUUGAUCCCUCAACGAGGGUACGUAGGCAAUCUAGGGCUACCUAGACGUAGUCACAAAAUCAAAUAAACACCUAAAUCCCCAAGUUACGAUUUAUUCAUAUUAGAAUCAAAGGGUAUUCCUUUCCAAAGGAAGGGUUAUAAUUAAUAGGCGCGUAGCCUAGAAUGAGGUGAACUCGAAUUAAUAAAACCCUCUUCAAAAAAUGAACGAGGGUGAAAUUAUGUCAAGUGAAUUAUUUGUUUACAUAUUGUGUACAAUUUUUGCUCAACACUAUCAAACCAAACAAUGUGGUCAAGAGUAUUGUAUUAGAGAAAGACCGUAUCGCAUUGUAAUCAUUUACUGAAUAGGUUCUCUACCUCUUCUGUUUAGCUUGGGUAGCCAUGAUAUACUGCUAGGUGUCACUCUUGGUUUGUGGAAGCC